AUGUGCGUGAGUGUGGGUGCAUAGAGAUCAGAGAACAACCCUUGGGAGUCAUUCUCUUCUACUGUGGAAUUUGAGUAUCCAGCUCAGGUCAACAGCCAUGUCUAGCCAGAAUCUUUAUCCUAUGGACUAUCUUGAAGAGAUGUAACCGAAGAGACCUGCAGAGAAGGUGCUGACACCUAGAUUGGAGUGCUAUGAAGUAGGAGCAAAUAAUUAAGCCUAAACAGCGGUUGGCAUGGCAGGAGAAUAAAGUAAAUUGGGUAAUUUAA